rnacentral:siRNA from 1 species
UUGCGUGCUUUUCUUACUCUCA